CUAGGCCCCUCCUGGGAUCCCCUGGUCUUCUCUUUGCUGAUGAUCCUGUCUUGUGGCUUUAAGGGAACACAGCUAUUUGUGGAUCAGCAUUCAGACAACAUGGUUAAACAUUGCAACAAAACGGUUAAUUAAAUGUUUAUGAAGUCUCCCACAGUUCUUCCAGGGGAAAAGCAAGCAAACAACAUUGUGUAAUUCAGACCCAUUCAUCCACUUGCCUGAAGCUCCGUGACACAGUGAAAGAUUAUCUUGCAUUAAUCCUGGUUAAAUUAACUCAGUCAUUCUUCACCCACUACAAGGCAAAGGACUUCAUCAGAAUCCUGCCUAUCCAAACAUUUGUUUUGCCUAUUUCAGAAUUAUUCUUUUUUUUUUAAAGAAAAACAAACCUGCUAAGUGAAUUUUUUUAUGAAACUGCAUUUGCUUGAGAAACAAGUAGCUUUUCGGACUAUAUGCUUUCAGGUAUGUCAAAAUGGAAUUGUUCUGCCAUGUUGCACAUAUUAAUUUUUUGUUGCACAGUUGAUAGUGGAAAAACAGUUUUUCUGGGAUUUUGAAGAAUUUCAGGAGGUACCUGUUAAAAUUCAAAUAAAAACUUCAGAAGUGCAACUCGUGCAGAAUUGACUGAGAAUGGGUCAGGAUUUUCUAAUAUAUUUUGGAACAUGGCUUCUUCUUCUUCUUUAGCCUGCUCAUUUUACCAGAAAUGAGAUUUCUACACCCAGAAAAAUGAGAGUAUGUGAAUCAAUACACUUGUACUGAUUUUUAUUUUAGUUAUUACACUGCUGUAGACUCAAGUCCUGUUGCUGAUCUGCAGUUAUUGCUCACCUUCCAGCAUUGAAACAUUGAUUAUAAUCACUUUAAUGAGUAGAUUGGCAUGCUGAUAAUUUUCACAGUUGCUUCUGUAUCCUAUAUUGUAGUGUCCUUAUGUAAUAUAAAUAUUGCUUGGCAAGGCUUAUCCUUUAUUUGCAUCCAAAGGUAUUAGAAUGCUAGGAGGAAUCAUUAUUAAUUUCUUUCCACUGCAGUCUCAGCAAUAUUGCAAAGCUGUGGUUUGCACCACCCAUUUUCAGCCUGGUUUGCAUGGUGUGCAAGCCAAACUAUGGUAUACCAAGACCACAAGGAUGUGCAGGCUCCUGGAGACGAGCCUGCAGUACUUGCUCCUCUAAAGUUCUUUUUACUCUGAACUGUGGAGCAUGUUGAUUUUCCACAGAGCUGAAACACUGUCUUUUAUAUGGUUAAAUAAACAGAAUAUUCUGAACUGCAUGAAAGGAAGGCCAAACUAGACAUGAAGUGGGAGAUCCCUGUUUGGAUCUUCUAAUGCCUUUCGUUUUGCUACUGUGUGUUUGUUAAAUUGGGGUUCUUGUAUUGAGAGAAAGGGGUUAACCCUUCCCAUCAUUCUGUUUCCCCAGAUAAAUUUCCCCCAAGUUUCCUCAAGUUGCUAUUGGGCACAGGAUAGAAAAAGGUAUCUGUAUUUAUUAUUGAUUUAUAAAAAUAUUUAUAUAUCACUAUUCAUUAAAAAAUCAAAGUGGUUUACAACCACACAUAUAUGCAAUGAAAACCAUGCACAUAUUUAAAAUCAAAUAUCAACUAUUACAGAAAUCUGAAUUAUUAAUUGCUUGCACAAGCCUGGCAGCAUACAAAAGUUUUCAGCAGACAUUUAAAGAUUAAAACAAGAAUCUCUAUUGGCUGAGCAUUCCAGAGGACUGGGUCAAGGACAGCAAAAGCUCAGUUUCUUGUUGCCAUCAGAUGACCCUUGCCAACUCGGAACAACCAACAACACAGCCUUAUAUACAGUGCCCUGCAGUAAUCCAUCAUUGAUCAGGUAGUAUCCAGUCAGGCCCCAUGAACUGGAAUUAAUCCCACAACACUGGGUUUGAUGUUGGGUUGGACAUGUCAGCAGACUCUGCCACAAUACCAGUCUCUAAACCAUUGUGGGGCCAAGCAACAUUGUCUUCCAAGUGUUUAGCCAGCUAGGGAGACACUGUGUGCUCCAGAGGUCUGGCCUCCUCUGAACUACAUGGAACAACUCUGCUGGGCAGUUCCUUGAUGAUGCUGUUAGGUUGGGUAACUCCAGGAUAAACUGAAAUUGUCAGAAGGGACAGACUCGCAUUCUGUCCUUUAACACUAUUUCCAAACAGAAUGCUGCUGUGACUCCAACAUUGCAAUGCAACGGAGGCGGCAAAGUAGGAUCUCUUUGCUGUUCCCUCAGCCAUGUGGCAGGCCCAAUUAUAAGCUUGAGCACAUGUUUGGUUGGUUCUAGAGGGAGAUUGAUGCCACUUACACUCCAGCCCUCAUCCAGUCUGUUUCAUCGACCAUGACAGAGCAAAGUGAGCUUUACGGUGUUUGAAUGAGUCCAUAGGAGUGAGACUAGGGCUUCAGUAGGAUCACCUGCUCUAUCCACCGGAAAGCCUGUCAGAGCAGUCAGGAAUCUAUCAGUCUCUUGGGAUUGGGCCAUCCUAACUGGUCCCCCACCUGGGAAGAGAGAUUGACUUUGGAGGAACAGCACAGAGGAAAGAGUUAACACCCCCUCAAUUGCCGCAGCCUCAGUCAACUCCCUCCCCUGCCGCUGCUUUUAGGCUAGGAAAAAUACUUCCACAUCACAUUCAGUUUAACCAGAAACAAACACUCCAACAGUUCCUCCUUUCACUUCCAGUUCCUGGGAAAUCACUGCUCUAUUUUGUCCUUUAGUGAAAUUUGCAGGCAGGCGGAGAUUUUUUUUUUAAUGCUACUGUACUCAUAUAUCCCCCUCAAAUCUGCCUAUAUGGGCAGCAGACAUUGCUGAAUGUGUUUCAGUUGCAACUUUUAUAUAAUUAAUACAACCAACCCAUUGUGAGAAUAAACACAUUUUUAAAAAGGAAACUGUUAUAUUAAACUAACACAACUAUUCCAGAAGCUAGUGUGGGGCAGGAUAUUGCCAAAUGCAUGACUAUAGCACAAUAAAGGCAGAGCUUUAUACUAGAGGGAUGCAAGAUUGACUCUGUUUUCAUGGGGGAAAUGGGUGGGUUGUUUAUGCAAGAGAAGCAGUCUGUUGGAUGGCCAUCUGUCAUAAUGAUGUAGUUGAGAUUCCUGCAUUGCAUGGGGUUGGACUAGAUCUGGGUUCGGCAAACUACAGCCCCCAGGCCGAAUCAGGCUCGCCAGGGUUCUAAAUCCAGCCCGCCGGGCCAUUUAAGAACCUGCCAUGAAGCCGAGACUCCAGGCAACGGCGAUGGAAGGAAGAGGCCGAGUGGUGGCGUCU